rnacentral:rRNA from 1 species
AGUGAACGCUGGCGGUAGGCCUAACACAUGCAAGUCGAACGGCAGCACAGUAAGAGCUUGCUCUUACGGGUGGCGAGUGGCGGACGGGUGAGGAAUACAUCGGAAUCUACUUUUUCGGGGGGGAUAACGUAGGGAAACUUACGCUAAUACCGCAUACGACCUACGGGUGAAAGCAGGGGAUCUUCGGACCUUUCGCGAUUGAAUGAGCCGAUGUCGGAUUAGCUAGUUGGCGGGGUAAAGGCCCACCAAGGCAACGAUCCGUAGCUGGUCUGAGAGGAUGAUCAGCCACACUGGAACUGAGACACGGUCCAGACUCCUACGGGAGGCAGCAGUGGGGAAUAUUGGACAAUGGGCGCAAGCCUGAUCCAGCCAUACCGCGUGGGUGAAGAAGGCCUUCGGGUUGUAAAGCCCUUUUGUUGGGAAAGAAAAGCGGCAGGUUAAUACCCCGCUGUUCUGACGGUACCCAAAGAAUAAGCACCGGCUAACUUCGUG